rnacentral:lncRNA from 1 species
ACUAGGGCCACAGGGUUCACAUUUUCAGUGUGGGAACUGCAGAAGAGAAUUUCACUUGCCUUCAGGAAUCCUAACCAGGAUGUGGUGGGCUCCAUCCAAACCUGUCAAUGAGGUGACAGACCACAUAAAGGCCACAGACACUGUACUUAGAGGCCUGUUCAAGAGUGAUAAACCCCAUCGGUGGAGUGAAUCACAGCUAGUCCUGCGACAGAAAUAAAUCAAGGUGAGCUGUAAGCCAAAUCAAGUCAAACCAAAUAAAUCCAGCUCUGUCACAAGUAAGCCAUCCAAGUAUUGCUUUCCUACAGUGAGAGAAGGAUUAUAAGGACACUGUAAGGAUCCAAGACAAAU